AGUAGUCAUAUGCUUGUCUCAAAGAUUAAGCCAUGCAUGUCUAAGUACAGGCCGAAUUAAGGUGAAACCGCGAAUGGCUCAUUAAAUCAGCUAUGAUUCCUUGGAUCUGUACCCACACUUACUUGGAUAACUGUGGUAAUUCUAGAGCUAAUACAUGCACCACGUCUCUGACCGCAAGGGAAGAGCGCUUUUAUUAGUUCAAAACCGGUCGGGCCUCGGUCCGUCACUUGAGUGUUGAAUCUGAAUAACUUUUAGCUGAGCGCACGGUCUCCGCACCGGCGCCGCUUCUUUCAAGUGUCUGCCUUAUCAGCUUUCGAUUGUAGGUUAAACGCCUACAAUGGCUAUAACGGGUAACGGGGAAUCAGGGUUCGAUUCCGGAGAGGGAGCCUGAGAAACGGCUACCACAUCUAAGGAAGGCAGCAGGCACGCAAAUUACCCACUCCCAGCACGGGGAGGUAGUGACGAAAAAUAACAAUGCGAGACUCAUCCGAGGCCUUGCAAUUGGAAUGAGUACACUUUAAAUCCUUUAACGAGGAUCAAUUGGAGGGCAAGUCUGGUGCCAGCAGCCGCGGUAAUUCCAGCUCCAAUAGCGUAUAUUAAAGUUGUUGCGGUUAAAAAGCUCGUAGUUGGAUUUCGGUUCUGGACUGGCGGUCCACCGUAAGGUGAGUACUGUCACGCUCCGAACUGUAUACAAGUCCGCUGGCUUGCACGGGGUGCUCUUUACCGAGUGUCCCGCGUGGCUGGCAGAGUUUACUUUGAAAAAAUUAGAGUGCUCAAAGCAGGCUACACGAACGGCCUGAAUGCCUAUGCAUGGAAUAAUGGAAUAGGACCUCUGUUCUAUUUUGUCGGUUUUUCUGAACCAGAGGUAAUGACUAACAGGAACAGGCGGGGGCAUUCGUAUUGCGACGCUAGAGGUGAAAUUCUUGGACCGUCGCAAGACGAACUAUUGCGAAAGCAUUUGCCAAGGAUGUUUUCAUUAAUCAAGAACGAAAGUUAGAGGUUCGAAGGCGAUCAGAUACCGCCCUAGUUCUAACCAUAAACGAUGCUGACCAGCGAUCCGCCGGCGUUAUUCCCAUGACCCGGCGGGCAGCUUCCGGGAAACCAAAGUCUUUGGGUUCCGGGGGAAGUAUGGUUGCAAAGCUGAAACUUAAAGGAAUUGACGGAAGGGCACCACCAGGAGUGGAGCCUGCGGCUUAAUUUGACUCAACACGGGGAACCUCACCAGGCCCAGACACCGGAAGGAUUGACAGAUUGAGAGCUCUUUCUCGAUUCGGUGGGUGGUGGUGCAUGGCCGUUCUUAGUUGGUGGAGCGAUUUGUCUGGUUAAUUCCGAUAACGAACGAGACUCUAGCCUACUAAAUAGCCGACGGAUCUCCAGCAAUUGGUGUCCAGUCGUAGCUUCUUCUUAGAGGGAUAAGCGGCAAUUCUAGCAGCACGAGAUUGAGCAAUAACAGGUCUGUGAUGCCCUUAGAUGUUCUGGGCCGCACGCGCGCUACAAUGAAAGGGUCAGCGUGUUUUCCCCCUCCGAGAGGAGCGGGUAACCCGUUGAAAUCCUUUCCUGAUUGGGAUUGGGGUUUGCAACUAUCUCCCAUGAACGAGGAAUUCCCAGUAAGCGCAAGUCAUGAGCUUGCGUUGAUUACGUCCCUGCCCUUUGUACACACCGCCCGUCGCUACUACCGAUUGAAUGAUUUAGUGAGGCCUUCGGACUGGCGCCCUUGGAUGCCUUUGGUUCACUUCGGUGGGCUUCUCGGCGCCUCGGGCUGACGGAAAGAUGUCCAAACUUGAUCAUUUAGAGGAAGUAAAAGUCGUAACAAGGUUUCCGU
rnacentral:rRNA from 1 species